rnacentral:rRNA from 1 species
UACGGGGGGGGCAAGCGUUGUUCGGAAUUACUGGGCGUAAAGGGCCAGUAGGCGGCCAACUAAGUCGGACGUGAAAUCCCCGGGCUCAACCCGGGAACUGCGUCCGAUACUGGAUGGCUUGAAUCCGGGAGAGGGAUGUGGAAUUCCAGGUGUAGCGGUGAAAUGCGUAGAUAUCUGGAGGAACACCGGUGGCGAAGGCGGCAUCCUGGACCGGUAUUGACGCUGAGGCGCGAAAGCCAGGGGAGCAAACGGG